rnacentral:rRNA from 1 species
UACGUAGGGCGCAAGCGUUGUCCGGAAUUAUUGGGCGUAAAGAGCUCGUAGGCGGUUUGUCGCGUCUGCUGUGAAAACCUAAGGCUCAACCUUGGGCUUGCAGUGGGUACGGGCAGACUAGAGUGCGGUAGGGGUGACUGGAAUUCCUGGUGUAGCGGUGAAAUGCGCAGAUAUCAGGAGGAACACCGACGGCGAAGGCAGCUUACUGGGCCGAUACUGACGCUGAGGAGCGAAAGCGUGGGGAGCGAACAGG